rnacentral:lncRNA from 1 species
CUACAAAGACCCCAAAAAGAGAGAAAAGAAGAAAGAAAAGAAUUGAGAACCCACACCAGUGAAAAGGAAAUGGGAAAACGAGUUGGAAGGAGCCAUAAAAACUACAAUAAUGAGUGCAGUUCAACAUCCUAAUAUUGUUUGUAGAUUAAUAAAAAGGGUAAGUAUUUUCUCAUCAAAAGCGAACAAUGUUAUAUUGCAGUAGGUAUACUCGCAUGUUUAUAGCGAACUGAUAUCAGUUUAUAAAGAGAGUAAGUUGGUAAUAUUUAUAGUAGGCCAAUGACAUCCACAGUUGAGUUAUAGACUAUGAAACAAUAUAAUUUGCCAAGUGAGGUUUUAAGAAUAGAUCUGCUUCAUAACAGCAGUAUAUUUGUUUUGAUAAACUGUGCGAUAUUUAGUUUUCAUUAAGAAAAGGAAAACUAUGGGAUAUUUACUAGCUGAUAAAUUAUAUGAUGUAACAUACUGUGGGCAAAUCCAAUCUCCAGUUUUCAUUUCUUGAACAUUUGACACACGAGCAUCUUGACUAGGUCCUUCAGCUUUGCAUCUCAGGCAUUGUGCAUUGCGGGAGAAGUUCAUAAAGUCGCAUCUGCAGCAAGUCAAUGUUAGGACAAGCCCAGAAUGCGCUAGGAAGUGACAUCAAAAGGAAGAAAAAAGAGGAUGAAGGAGGGUUGUUUUGAUAAACUGUGCGAUAUUUAGUUUUCAUUAAGAAAAGGAAAACUAUGGGAUAUUUACUAGCUGAUAAAUUAUAUGAUGUAACAUACUGUGGGCAAAUCCAAUCUCCAGUUUUCAUUUCUUGAACAUUUGACACACGAGCAUCUUGACUAGGUCCUUCAGCUUUGCAUCUCAGGCAUUGUGCAUUGCGGGAGAAGUUCAUAAAGUCGCAUCUGCAGCAAGUCAAUGUUAGGACAAGCCCAGAAUGCGCUAGGAAGUGACAUCAAAAGGAAGAAAAAAGAGGACGAAGGAGGGUUGCUCCAGUGGUAGAGCUCCUCAACUUCUUAUUUCAUCAGGCGCUCUUCGACUUACACAAUUAGGUUGGGGGUUCAAAUCCCCCCCCCCCUCCGCAGCGGGAGGGGGGCUUGGAAAACCACUGUUACCCCAGGAAAUGGCAGUGAGAGAGGCUUUGGUUGUGCGUUUUUUGAAAAGGUUACCAAAUCUAAUAAAAGAAGGAAAAAGAAACUGGGCACUCUGACAAUCCAAUCACAGUCCAGACCACUCAUUGGAUGGAAAGCUUCAUUGUGAAGUCCUCCAAUAAUACUUGACAGAAUUAUUGAGUGCAUAUCAAACAUACAGGUAAAACACAAACACACAUGGCAAAGUAGCU